rnacentral:lncRNA from 1 species
CGGGGGCCCCGCCGAGACGCCCCUCCUCGAGCCGCGUGGCGCCUUUGCUCGGCGCAGGCCGGGCCGACGCAAAGGCCAAGGGACGGCGGUUCCGCCGUGCUCGGCGCUGCGCUCGCCCGUCCCCUCGCCAGCAACCGCCGCGUCGCUCCCGGCUUUGCCUCGCUGUCCCCGGGUGCGGGCGCCGGUCCGUGCGCUGGGCUGAGACACCCUCCUCUUCAGCCGCCCCGUGCAUGCGGGUGCUGCAGUCAAACUGAUGUACCUUUCCCCCGCCCGUCGCUCCUGUUUCCUGGACCCCAGAUCUCGGUGAACUUUGACCGUCUCUGAACUUUGCCUAGUUUCCAACAUCCUCCCUCAGGCGCUUCGCUGUUUCCUGUGAAUAACGCUCAGAAAAAUAAAAGAAAGGGGUGGACGCGCGUGCCGAUGGAUGCGAAUGGUCACAAGCUGGCUUUAGAGACAGCUAYGUUAAUUAUCCCCGCGGUUCCCUGAGCAGCAAGCGUCUGGCCGGCAGAAAAGGAGAGGCUUCGCCUUGUGUCCAGAUGGAGCACGUGGUGAAAGCGGGGUCAGAAUACGGUUCUGCUCACCCGCUUUCUGCAGGGUAAUCCUGUAUCCCUUGCAAACAGGGAAGGACUGCAGGACAUCACUUCAGUGUGUACCAGUAACCACCAAAGGCAACUUUGCAAAGGGACUACUUGCAUUUUAUGAGCAUGCUGGGAUGAAGACUGGUCACCUAUUUACUAGCUUUCCUGGAAAAGCAACAGAGCAUCUUCCAAAUGAGGCCAGAAGCUUAAGUCCUGGAUGGGACACAGUCACUUACUGUCCAAGGGCUUCGUCACAACACUUGGCAUGGAGAAGGUGAACAAGGAUAGAAAAGAGAGUGGCCUAGAAAGUGGCUGCAUCAAAAAGAAAGAGACAACGCACACACAAAGUGAGGUGCUUGUUUCCGUAGGAUAUUGUAGGUACUAAAAAGUUGCAGGGGCUUAAGAACCAGCUGGACAAAUUCAAGGAAGAAAAGCCCAUCCAGGGCUAUUAAACACAGAGACACCAUCUCUAGCUCAGGAAGUCUCUGACCCACAAACCACUGGUCUG